UACGUAGGGGGCAAGCGUUGUCCGGAUUUAUUGGGCGUAAAGAGCGUGUAGGUGGCUUUGCAAGUCCGUUGUGAAAACUCGAGGCUCAACCUCGAGACGCCGGUGGAAACUGCAAAGCUAGAGUCCGGAAGAGGAGAGUGGAAUUCCUGGUGUAGCGGUGAAAUGCGCAGAUAUCAGGAAGAACACCCGUGGCGAAGGCGGCUCUCUGGGACGGUACUGACGCUGAGACGCGAAAGCGUGGGGAGCGAACAGG
rnacentral:rRNA from 1 species